rnacentral:lncRNA from 12 species
AUAUAUUAGGGCUGUCAAAUGAUUAAUCACGAUUAAUCACAUCCAAAAUAAAAGUUUUGUUUACAUAAUAUAUGUGUGUAUACUGUGUAUAUUUAUUAUGUAUAUAUAAAUACACACACAUGCAUGUAUAUAUUUAAGAAGAAUAUGUUAUGUUUAUAUAUUAAAUAUAUUUAUAUAUAAUAUAAAAUAUAAGAAUAUAAAUAUAUAAAUGUAUAUACAUGUAAAUAUUUUCUAAAUAUAUAAUUUAUGUGUGUGUAUUUAUAUAUACAUAAUAAAUAUACCNGUAUGUAUGGAAGCCUGUUUUCACUUUCCACCACUGAAUAAAAAAAUGUAAAAUAUAUUUAUGACUUUUUAUUUUACAAUUUGAACUUUUUUUCUCAGAAGUGCAUUUUAUAUCGUGCAAUUCUGACUUUUUUUUCUCAGAAUAGCAAAUAGGAAAAAAUGAAUUGUAAGAUAAAAAGUCACAAUUAGCUUUUUUGUUUGUUUGUUUUUUUAUCCCUUGGCAGAAACAAGCUUCCAUAAAUAAAUAAAUAUAUAUUUAUAUAUAUAUUUAAAAGUAGUAAUAUGUACUAAUAUACAGGUAUUAUUAAAUUCCUAAAUAAUUAUUAAAUACUGUACAUUUAGGGCUAUUAAGGUACAAAGCUUUUGUACCUUAUGGAUCCGCCCCAGUGACAGCUUUGUUCCUUUUUUCAGAGAGUGUUUUUUGACAGAAAAUACAUGGGUUACAUCUCAUAAAUUUUCUUCUGAAUUUAACUCUUACUGAACAGGACAGAUGUGGUGCAAGUGAUAACUUCCAGACGUUGUCAGAGAGGUGUGUUUAUCUAGUAGCUAAACAGGUAGCAGCAGGUCUGGACUAUUUAUACUCCUACCACAGAAUUAUUCAUGGGGAAGCCGCAGCCUGGAAUGUAUUGAUCGGUUCAGGGCUCUCGGUCAAAGUCUCUGGAUUGGAUUUGGCUUUAAAGAGUCGACAGUCGAGAAUGGUGGACAAUGAACAAGAAGCCAAUGUGCCGGUAAAAUGGCAGGCCCCUGAACGGAUGACGAGGCUUCCCCUAACAGACAGGAGUGAUGUGGUCUCCUCCCUAUCCUGA